rnacentral:lncRNA from 1 species
GCAGGAACUCUAUGCUCUAAUGUUAAUCAACAUGCCUACAACCAAAGGAGAGAGUAAAACCCAAAGUCAAGACAAGCAGCUUGAUGCUGAGGGAGAAGAUGGCAACGAGGAUGAAGACGACGAAGAAGAUGAUGAUGGAGAUGGUGCAUUUGGAGAAGGAGAAGAGGAAUUGUCAUCUGAAGAUGGAGGUGGAUAUGGCAACAAUUCCAACAAUAAGAGCAACUCAAAGAAGACUCCUGAAGGUGGUGCUGGUGGGGCAGAUGAAAAUGGAGAAGAGGAAGACGAUGAAGAUGGUGAAGGUGAUGACCAUGAUGAAGAUGACGAUGAGGACGAGGACGACGAAGAAGAGGAUGAGGUCGGAGAAGAGGACGAAGAAGAUGGUGUUGAAGAAGAGAAUGAAGAGGAAGAAGAAGACGAAGAUGAGGAAGCCUUGCAGCCACCAAAGAAAAGGAAGAAGUGAAUUUAGCUUAGUCAAGCCUCCUUUUGUAUUGUUGUGUACGAAUUUGGCUUCUAACUUCCCAUGAUGUUUUUUUUAAGUAUUAAACUUCUAUGUUCUUGUUUUCUUUAUAAGGAGGCCUAUGUAGGACAUGUUUUAAUUGAUAUCUGUGUUUACCAUUGCGUAAUUAGAAUUCUACAUUAUGUUGAGCAGUCAGUCUUAAAUUUACAAGACAGAAAAAAUAAUGAUCCUAGUUAAUUUUAACGUGACUUUUCUCACUUCACCAACUUCUGUAAUUUGUUUAUGUUCUACUACAGUUCC